UCAUGAGCUGAUUCUGGAUUUGAUUUCACUUUCUUCUGAUGUUUCCCCUUGCAUUGCUGGAUUUUGGAUAAUAGGUGCAAGAGCUGAGUUUGGUAUGAGGAACUUGCAGGUUUUCCAGGACCGAUUUUUUUUACUCAAUACCGAGGCGGUUGUUUGAAGAAUGCAGCAGGUUAGUUCAUUUGGGGCAUGCAGAUUGAAGAAUGCAUGAAGAUGGAGAACUUUGGCAUGACAUGGAUUUGGAAGUUCACUCAU